rnacentral:rRNA from 1 species
GUGGGGAAUAUUGGACAAUGGGCGAAAGCCUGAUCCAGCCAUGCCGCGUGUGUGAAGAAGGUCUUCGGAUUGUAAAGCACUUUAAGUUGGGAGGAAGGGCAGUAAGUUAAUACCUUGCUGUUUUGACGUUACCGACAGAAUAAGCACCGGCUAACUUCGUGCCAGCAGCCGCGGUAAUACGAAGGGUGCAAGCGUUAAUCGGAAUUACUGGGCGUAAAGCGCGCGUAGGUGGUUUUGUAAGUUGGAGGUGAAAUCCCCGGGCUCAACCUGGGAAAGGCCACCAAAACUGCAUGACUAGAGUACGGUAGAGGGUAGUGGAAUUUCCUGUGUAGCGGUGAAAUGCGUAGAUAUAGGAAGGAACACCAGUGGCGAAGGCGACUACCUGGACUGAUACUGACACUGAGGUGCGAAAGCGUGGGGAGCAAACAGGAUUAGAAACCCCGGUAGUCC